UACGAAGGGGGCUAGCGUUGCUCGGAAUCACUGGGCGUAAAGGGUGCGUAGGCGGGUCUUUUAAGUCAGGGGUGAAAUCCUGGAGCUCAACUCCAGAACUGCCUUUGAUACUGAAGAUCUUGAGUUCGGGAGAGGUGAGUGGAACUGCGAGUGUAGAGGUGAAAUUCGUAGAUAUUCGCAAGAACACCAGUGGCGAAGGCGCUCACUGGCCCGAUACUGACGCUGAGGCACGAAAGCGUGGGGAGCAAACAGGGAU
rnacentral:rRNA from 1 species